UGAGGGGGAGAAUGUUGGAUCAAGCUUAAAAUAACUUGAGUAAUAAGUUAUCUAUUUCCUACCGAGUUAUGGAAUAGGAAAUAGGAAAUAGGAAAGUCCUUAAGUGUUUAGGAGUUAUCUAAACAUUAUUAUCUAGUGUGUUUAAGAUUUUAUAUUCUUAUAUAUGGAGAUGUCAAAGUGUGACAUAACAUAAGGAUUUUUGUGACUGAGAGAGCUUAAGGUUUUGAGUGAGUUUCCUUAAGAGAUUAGUAAAAGAGUGAUUCUUAUUAAGUGUGUUCUUGAGAUCGUGUUUCAAUAUCAUCGUAUCCAGGUGGAAUCUGUUUUAAUAUUACGUAUGAAGGUCUACCAUUUACACUAUGAGUAUGAUUGGGAAACAC
rnacentral:lncRNA from 1 species